AUUCCAGCUCCAAUAGCGUAUACUAAAGUUGUUGCAGUUAAAAAGCUCGUAGUUGAAUUUCUGGUCGUGGCGACCGGUCCGCCCCUCACGGGGUGUGCACCUGGUCUCUACGUCCAUCCUCGGGGAGAGCGCGUCUGGCAUUCAGUUGUCGGGCGCGGGAUCCUCGUCAUUUACUGUGAGCAAAAUAGAGUGUUCAAAGCAGGCUUAGGCCGUUGAAUACAUUAGCAUGGAAUAAUAAGAUAGGACCUUGGUCUAUUUUGUUGGUUUGCAUUCCAAGGUAAUGAUUAAUAGGGACAGUCAGGGGCACUCGUAUUCCGCCGAGAGAGGUGAAAUUCUCAGACCAGGGGAAGACGAACCACUGCGAAAGCAUUUGCCAGGGAUGUUUUCAUUA
rnacentral:rRNA from 1 species